UACGUAGGGGGCUAGCGUUGUCCGGAAUCAUUGGGCGUAAAGAGCGUGUAGGCGGUUUGGUAGGUCCGCUGUGAAAACUCGAGGCUCAACCUCGAGACGCCGGUGGAAACCAUCAGGCUAGAGUCCGGAAGAGGAGAGUGGAAUUCCUGGUGUAGCGGUGAAAUGCGCAGAUAUCAGGAAGAACACCCGUGGCUAAGGCGGCUCUCUAGUACGGUACUGACGCUGAGACGCGAAAGCGUGGGGAGCGAACAGG
rnacentral:rRNA from 1 species